rnacentral:rRNA from 1 species
CACGUAGGGCGCGAGCGUUGUCCGGAAUUAUUGGGCGUAAAGAGCUCGUAGGCGGCCUGUUGCGUCCGCUGUGAAAGCCCGGGGCUUAACCCCCGGGUCUGCAGUGGAUACGGGCAGGCUAGAGGUAGGUAGGGGAGAAUGGAAUUCCCGGUGUAGCGGUGAAAUGCGCAGAUAUCGGGAGGAACACCGGUGGCGAAGGCGGUUCUCUGGGCCUUACCUGACGCUGAGGAGCGAAAGCGUGGGGAGC